rnacentral:rRNA from 1 species
UACAGAGGGUGCGAGCGUUGUCCGGAAUCACUGGGCGUAAAGGGCGCGUAGGUGGCUUGGUAAGCGUGUGGUGAAAGUCCGGGGCUCAACCCCGGAUCUGCCGUGCGAACUGCCGAGCUUGAGCAUUGUAGAGGCAGGUGGAAUUCCGGGUGUAGCGGUGGAAUGCGUAGAGAUCCGGAAGAACACCAGUGGCGAAGGCGGCCUGCUGGGCAAUUGCUGACACUGAGGCGCGACAGCGUGGGGAGCAAACAGGAUUAGAUACCCUGGUAGUCCACGCCGUAAACGAUGGGUACUAGGUGUCUGGGGGAGCGACCCCCUGGGUGCCGGCGCUAACGCAUGAAGUACCCCGCCUGGGGAGUACGACCGCAAGGUUGAA